rnacentral:lncRNA from 1 species
UUUUUUAGAUUUGAUCAAAAAUGUAAACACCCUAUUUACAGUAGUGGGAAGAUCUGCCCAUUUUUUAUAUGUAAUCAUCAAAGGUGUAAACAGCCCAUUUCACACAUUAAGUGGGAGGUCUGUGACCCAUGUGUGAAAUAGUAGGUGACCAAUCAAAAUCAACUGACUGCCCCAUGUCAGUCCUAAAAACAAAAGUGUCAACUGUGAUUGGUAGAAGUAAAAAUUAGGGGAAGUGACACAAAAGAAAGUGCCUUUCAAAGGGAGUGACAACUGUUUUGGGUGCAGUUCAACUUGGAAUUUUCACUUGGAGUGGAACCACCUAUGAGAUCGAGUUCUACUGGGAGUUCUUCAUUCUAAAAAGUGGAGGCUAGUGAAGAAUGUGCUGACUGGACCUGAGACCCUGUUCCUGGGGAGGCUGUUCUACUGACACGUGUUUCUUUAGGAGUCAUGUUCAACUUAACUACCAACAUGCUAAUGCUGAUACAAUGAUGGACCCAAAAGAUGAAGAGUUGAUGAUUUCCAAUGAAAUCCUCAAGGGGAUCAAAUGUGAUAUGAGGCAAAGGAGAGACCAGACAAAGUACCCAGAGACCUCAGGUGAAUUUCGGCUGACUGUUUGGAAUGACGGGAUAUCGUUCGACCCAUUUGUCAAGCGUAUUAUCGGCUCACUGACAUGAGAUCGCCGCAUAUGUUUAGCAUUUUCCAUGUAUAGCAAGUCCAGGCAUUAACAUGGAUGGCAUCUGUCAAUGUUGACAAAAAUUAAAUUUCAAAACUACUGUAAAUAAUAAAGCAGUCAUAGAAAGAUUAUUUCUCUGGAGC